rnacentral:rRNA from 1 species
AUUGAACGCUGGCGGCAGGCCUAACACAUGCAAGUCGAGCGAGCGGCGGCCGGGUGAGUAAUGUCUGGGAAACUGCCUGAUGGAGGGGGAUAACUACUGGAAACGGUAGCUAAUACCGCAUACCAUCAGAUGUGCCCAGGUGGGAUUAGCUAGUCGGUGGGGUAACGGCUCACCUGGGCGACGAUCCCUAGCUGGUCUGAGAGGAUGACCAGCACAACGGGAACUGAGACACGGUCCAGACGCCGACGGGAGGCAGCAGUGGGGAAUAUUGCACAAGGGGCGCAAGCCUGAUGCAGCCAUGCCGCGUGUGUGAAGAAGGCCUUCGGGUUGUAAAGCACGUUCAGCGGGGAGGCGUUACCCGCAGAAGAAGCACCGGCUAACUCCGUGCCAGCAGCCGCGGUAAUUC